GACGAACGCUGGCGGCGUGCUUAACACAUGCAAGUCGAACGGAAAGGCCCUGCUUGCUGGGUACUCGAGUGGCGAACGGGUGAGUAACACGUGGGUGAUCUGCCCUUCACUUCGGGAUAAGCCUGGGAAACUGGGUCUAAUACCGGAUAGGAGCUAUUUUUAGUGUGAUGGUUGGAGAGUUUUUUCGGUGUAGGAUGAGCUCGCGGCCUAUCAGCUUGUUGGUGGGGUAAUGGCCUACCAAGGCGGCGACGGGGAGCCGGGCUGAGAGGGUGGACGGCCACAUUGGGACUGGGAUAAGGCCCAGACUCCCACGGGAGGCAGGGGUGGGGAAUAUUGCACAAUGGGCGCAAGCCUGAUGCAGCGACGCCGCGUGGGGGAUGACGGCCUUCGGGUUGUAAACUCCUUUCGCGAGGGACGAAGCUUUUUGUGACGGUACCUAGAUAAGAAGCACCGGCUAACUACGUG
rnacentral:rRNA from 1 species